rnacentral:rRNA from 1 species
UACGUAGGGUCCGAGCGUUGUCCGGAAUUACUGGGCGUAAAGAGCUCGUAGGUGGUUUGUCGCGUUGUCCGUGAAAACUCACAGCUCAACUGUGGGCGUGCGGGCGAUACGGGCAGACUGGAGUACUGCAGGGGAGACUGGAAUUCCUGGUGUAGCGGUGGAAUGCGCAGAUAUCAGGAGGAACACCGGUGGCGAAGGCGGGUCUCUGGGCAGUAACUGACACUGAGGAGCGAAAGCGUGGGGAGCGAACAGG